UACAGAGGGUGCGAGCGUUAAUCGGAAUUACUGGGCGUAAAGCGCGCGUAGGCGGCUUUGCAAGUCGGGUGUGAAAUCCCCAGGCUUAACCUGGGAACUGCAUUCGAGACUGCAUUGCUAGAGUAUGGGAGAGGGAAGUAGAAUUUCCGGUGUAGCGGUGAAAUGCGUAGAUAUCGGAAGGAACAUCAGUGGCGAAAGCGACUUCCUGGACCAAUACUGACGCUCAUGGUGCGAAAGCGUGGGGAGCAAACAGG
rnacentral:rRNA from 1 species